rnacentral:lncRNA from 1 species
CCACGCCUGCAGGUUUGUUGCACUCCUGAAGGCACGUCGGAAGGUCUAUGUAACACUCAUGCAUAACUUUGCAACAGUAGUCACCAAGGACUGGUUUGUCUAUGACACACAACCCAUGUAAAUUGAUCUUAUCAUUAUCGAUGCCAUUGAUGAUUCGACCUAUGGUAUAACAAACAAACAAUGGACAUUAGUAUGAUUUUGGAUUGAUCAAUAACAACCACCACAUGGGAAAAAUGAAUAAAAUAAUUUGUCGUUAUGUAAUAGAAAAAUACCUACUUCAAGAAAAAAUAUUACAUGGUAUACUUACUGUAAAUACUAAAGAUUAUUAAAAGUAGAACUAACUAUUUAAAAUCCCCUGCUUACAUUGUGUAGUAGUAGCAUGACAUAUGAGAAGAAGAAGUAGAGCUUCCAGUAGGACUCUUGCACGGAUGGGAGUUGGGUACUUGUCCAUCUUGAUAAUACGAUGCUAUUGGGACACUUGUUUCAAGAGAUCUAUAAGAUGAUUUUUACACACUCAUAUAAUCAUGUAUAUAUAGAGAGGGAUAGAGCCAGAGAGAUCCCAUCCCNNNNNNNNNNNNNNNNNNNNNNNNNNNNNNNNNNNNNNNNNNNNNNNNNNNNNNNNNNNNNNNNNNNNNNNNNNNNNNNNNNNNNNNNNNNNNNNNNNNNAUAUGCUUAAGUGUUAAUAGUUUAUUUUUAGCAAGAAAAUUAAUAGAACUAGUUUAUUUUUUUAGUUCAUUUUACGAUGCCUAUCCCGCAUCCUCGUCAUCGACUCGGCGGAGGACACCUGCUUGAUCAGAGGGGCCCUGUCCGGGACUGGGCUCCGCCCGGCUGGUAUUGGGAGGUGCUACCUUCCGGGGGGCGUAGGUUGGUGAGGAGCCAGCCCGUCGUUGACCCGAUCCUUGUUUGGUGGCGGUCGCGUGGGCCACUGAGGGUGCCGAGGCUUCCGGACACCGCGGAGGUGGUACGUCACCGUGUCAGCGAGGAGGAUGAGCACGUCCGUCGCUACAUGGUUGCGUUGGAGGGCAGGUUCGAGCAUACCUGGCAGGUUCUUCGGGGAUCUCAUUGGAGCUAUGAUCCUAUGAUGGUUCCUUCUCUUUGGGUGUCCACCGCCCGCGCCGAUACCCGUCGGGCCCUACGGUUCUAUAUGUAUUAGUGAUGCUAUAUGUAUGAUAGUAUUCGAGGAGUAUUAAUGAUAAUAUUCGAUGAUGUACGGACAAAAGUGAUGAUGUAUUAGCUUAUAAUUGAAUGCAUGCUAAUUUGAAUACUACUUUAUUUUACGAUUUGGUUUUGCUUAGUGAAUGCUCAAAUUGGAAAUUUACUCCUACUUUGAAUACUAUGCAGAAAUCUAGGAGUCUCAAAUUGGAAAAGUACUCCUACUUUGGUUUUUGGUACAAAGGUUAAGAGAAUCCGUUUUUUCCCGAACUAUGGAUCCACAUAUCAGGAACCUCGAAGAGGAAGAACUUCUGGAAGAUAUAAUCAAAGAUGGCCCCGACGUUGAACCAGCUGAAUCUCCGUCGUUAUAUCUAAACCAGGACGUUGGAAUGGAGGUCGAGCGACACGAAGAUGAAGCCGAUGGGGCAGGAGAUAAGUCCAAUGACGGAGAAGGUGAUAGCUCCACUGAUGGAGAAGCCGGUGAAGAGGAGAAGUCCGGCGAGGUAUACAUAUGAAGUUCGACAAUCACUUGUAAUAUGUGAAAAAUAUUGGAGAUAGCUCUAUAUUGUAUACAUAUACAUUCAUUUGACAAAUGUUUCUCCCUCUUAGGCCUCCACAUCGAGAAAAACUACGAAACGAGGCCCGACUAGAAAGUUGGAUGCACGGACGCAUUACACAUUUGAGGUGAUAUUUCCUACGGGCGAACCCAAGCUUCCUAAGAAUGCUGCUGACACAUUCAAGAAGCAAUGUGGAGUUCUCAUUAGGGAUCACGUCCCGAUCAGCGUUCGGGAGUGGAACAAGCGCAAAGGGGCAGCCGAUAGUGACUAUGUCGCCGAAAGGUACAAAGAUAAUCUUUGGAAUGAUCUCAUGUCACAUUUCAACCUGCCAGAAUGUGAGAAUGAAGACGCCGCAGACAAACUGAGGGCCAAAGUCAAGCAAUGGACUCUGAAGAAGAUGGCAGAACUGUUCCGUAGCUGGAAGAAGAAGCUAUGGAAAAACUAUCUGAAGACACAGGAAGUGCCAGUAUUCGAGGGGUAUCUAGCCAAGCAGGCGAAUCACUGGAAGGCAUUUCAAGAGUACAAGGAGUCAGAAGAGGCCCAGGCAUUAUCAGAAAAGAACAAGAUAAAUGCCGACAAGAAGAUAUAUCACCACAAGCUGGGGCCAGGGGGCUAUGAGACUGCCAUCCCAAAGUGGGAUAAGAAAGAGCAAGAUCUGAUAGAUAAAGGCAUCGUACCUGAACCACUCCGUGAUGAGUGGGAAUUGAGAGCAAGAAAUUGGUUCCUUGCGCAUGAUGGGUCGUACGACGAAACAACAGGGGACCUCAUCUGCAAUGACAAUCUUAGGAUACCCAGGGAGAAUUGGAAAAGGAUAGUGAAAGAAAUUAAGGAGGGAAGAAGAAAGUUCACUGCAAAUAGAGAGAAAGAUUUGCUCACACUGGUCCUCGGCAAUGACGAACAUGGAGGACGAACGCGAGGCUUCGGUCCUUCUUACCCGUGGUGGCUUGGGUUUGCCAGAGACCAAGACACUUACAGAAGCCGAGAGAGAGCAAAGAAGCGGCAGCAGGAUGAGGAGAAUGACAAGUUCAACCAGUUGCUUGCCAGGAUUAACGAGCAACCGAAGCAGAUUGAUGAGCUUAGAGGAGUACCGCGCCAGGAAGAUCCUGCAGUUGAUAUUACCGGCGCCCCAUCUAAGCGGAAAAGCAGCGUGGCUAAAUCUGAGGCCCCGCCCAACGAUGAAUGAAGAAUGAUAGAGGGCGGUCCUGGCUACCCCGUGGAUGGAAUCAAGGAGUCAACAUCAUGUGAACUCCAUCAGAUAUUCAAGAACAUAUCCAUGAAGGUGGCCGUCGGACAAGCUUUACCUUCUGGCCCUGAUGCACGCUGGCAUGGCCGUGAGAUUCCAGCUGGCUUUGCUAAAGUCGGGAUGGAUGAAAUCAUGAUGGGGUUUAAUGAUAUGGAGCUCGACAUAGCUGGACCCGAAGAUGAGAGGACACUCGGAGAAGUACUAGGUGGAGUCAUUCUAUGGGACAAGAACUACAUCAAGCUUCCAGGCUCGGCCCCAAGGACAACACCGCCUCCGAGUCGUCGCAGGUCACCUACACCUCCAUUACCUCCAAUCCCUCCACAUGACGUCGGCCAGCACAACACGAGUCCAUCUCGAUCACCGCCGCCGGACUUGGGUCGUCCGUCUCCGCCGCCGCCCGCACAUGAUACUAAGCGGAAGCGUGCCAGCAAGAACACUUCAUCGAUGAUUUCUAAGCGACGGAGCUCCCCAAAGCGCAAACUAUCGCCCCUCCCAAAGGUACCUCAUGCUAAUCUUCCUAUCAGACCUUCUGAUCGUACCCCCGAGGAAAACGCCAGGAUAGCAAAGGAACAACAUGAGGCACAGAUGAAAAGGAAGGAACCCAAGCCCCGUCCGAAAUACACCGAGAAGAACAUAGCAUGGGCAAAAGACUUCAUAACCACGACAUCACAGUAUGACUUACACUAUAAGCCUGAUGACUAUACACGCACAUUGCAAAAGGAAGUGAAAAAGAGCAAGUCACAUGCAAGUGCAAGUGGGAGAAAAUCAAGUUCAACUACAAGCAAGAAAAAAUCAGACGUUCCUCAGCUUGUACAACAGGCCAAACAGUCGAUCCCACCCCUCAAGGUGUUAACCGAGAAUGUUCCCCCUCCGGUGCAGGGGAAAGCUUUUGAAAACGCAAAGGAGUUGGCGGAUGAAUGUGGUAUCUCGGUUGAAAAUUUGCUGGCUAUUUCCCAAGACAACAGGAUACCUAAGGCUGUGGUAGCCCCUAAGCCACAGUUUGUCAUGGGAGAGCCUUUGGUCAGCAAAGAUGAUCUCCCAACAAAUAUGCGUUACUUGCAUAAAUGGUACUUAAGUGAAUCAAAGAAUGGGAGAACCAUGAUCGUGCUGAGUGUCCCACAGGAGUACUACGGCCGCUCUGAAGAAAUCCAUAUCGACUUUGAUGAACUCUUCGAGAUGUACAAUGGCGACGCCCUCGAGAAAUCGCUUAUGAGUUGCUAUUGUGUGUAAGUUUUUCAAUUCGUUGUCUACAUAUAACUUGUUUAGUUAUUUCAAUUCAUUGUCUAUAUAUAACUUUUACUCUAUUAUGCAGAAUGAAGAUUCUGGAGUGUAAAAGUAAGAGCAUCAUAAAUAUUGGGUUCAUUUAUCCAGAUAAAAUACAUAUAGCGACGCUAACUAAUUAUCCCAAGCAGACGGAGGAAAACCUUCUAAGGUUUCUAAGAGAUAAAACUUUCUGUGACCACAUACUGUUUCCAUACAACUUCAGGUGAGGGUCUUUACUCUGUUGUGUCCAUUCACUUAUAAGUGUAAUUGAUAAGUUACUCACACACACACAUAUAUAUANNNNNNNNNNNNCAUAUAUAUAUAUACAUGUGCAGCUUCCAUUGGAUUCUGUUGGACAUUCAAAUUGAUAAGGGAAUAGUUGAUGCCUUCGACCCAUUAUCGAGACCCUUGGAACAGUUCCAAAGCCUGCAGGACAUGCUCCAAGUGUAAUUUUAAUCAUUCUUGCGCUCUAUCGGUCUCUUUCGAUGAUUUUCUGAUAUAUCAAUUACUGAAAAACUUAGCAAAUCAUUAUCCUUGUCGGGCAGGGUUUGGAAUCGGUUCAAGUGCGUGACUCCCGGUAACUUUCCUGAGAAGCUGACCUUUAGAGCGGCUCAGGUAAGUAGUAGUAUGAUAUACUUCUAUUAAUUUUCAAUACAUUUAUGAUGCUAGAUUAUUAUUUUGAUUAUAUAUAUUCCAUUCUUGUAAAGUGCGACUAGCAGCCACGGGAACGCAUCUAUGACUAUACUAUGUUUGUGAGACCAUUCGCACGUUUACCUCUGAGUUCAUGGAGCACAGAUUCGACGUAAGGAAUGAACAUUCACACCUCUAUUUUUACCCGUCAUUCUUUGUUAUCAUGAUUGAUAUUCAUAUUCAUCUCCUCUUCUUAUAUAGCACACGGCCAUGAGGACGAAGGUCCUACCAGAGCAACGCGUGUUUGCUGUUGCAGAGGAGCUUGCGGGAUUUCUGAGGACGAAAGCUAUAGAAGACAAAGGACGAUUUAGUGUAGCUAAUGGCCAUUAGUGAUGUUCGUCCAUGUAAUCGAAUAGACGGGCUCUAGUCCCGAUAAUUGUAUAUAUAUGAUCGCUUGUAAGAUAAGUUAAUCUUAUAUAUAUAUGCAUAACUAUUUCUAUUUUAAAUUAUAUGAAAACUAAUUCCCGAACACAAAACGAGGCAUCACGUUAAUCUCCUGAACACCUAAACCCUAAAACCCUAAAACCCAAAAAUAAUUUCAUUCCAAAAAAAACCCAAAAGCCAGCAAAAUCUGAAAAUCUUUAGUCCCGGACCAUGUAACGAACCGGGACUAAAGGGCCUGCCCCAGGGGCGCUACGAGGCACCCACGUGGAGCACCUUUAGUCCCGGCUUGUAAGAGGGCCGGGACGAAAAGGUUAGGCCUUUAGUCCCGCCCCUUUAGUCCCGGUUGGUGAACCGGGACUAAAGCCCCUUACGGGCCGGGGCUAUAGGCCCUGUCCCCACUAGUGACUGUAAAUUUCCCUACCGUGUAAACUGAAACAUUUUUCAAACACGAGAGAAGUCAUAUUACAACAACCUUUCCUUCAUUUCAUGCUUACGGAUUAGUCUCUGCAGCAGUAUGUGGCUCCUCUUAUAUAGGAAUCAUACAUCUUUAGAACCAUUUUCCCACCCUCUUGAUUCAUCACUCUAGAUUUUCACUUCAUGUGAAAAUGAAAACUUAUUUAUAUAGCAUCACAACAUAUUCCACUCGCCUUUCCAUCAUUUCAAUUUUCAAGAGUAGUUACCAUUGCAUUAUAUACCUCACACAAUGACUUACAUGUGGAAAUCGGACAAUUUGUAAUUUUAUUCGUAUUGUUUCGGUCCAUCAUGGUAUAUUUUCUCUUAUGUGAAAAUAAAAGGUUAUUUAAUUAGACAAAUCGACAUAUGCUAGUAGUCCCGCUUCAUUUCUUGCUUCUGAAGUUGUCUCUACAACAAUAUGUAGCUCCUUCAACAACUUAGAUGUGGAAAUGAUAUAAUUUCAACACUUUUCUUGUAACCGUUUUAUUCAUUACUAUAGAUUUUAUCUUCUCGGGGAAGUGGAAUAUUUUUCAAAUAGGGUAGUCGCAAUAUUACGAGAUCAUUUUCUUCAUUUCAUAGUUUGGCACUACUCUGUGCAUCAGUAUGUGGCUCCGCCUUAUGUAAAAUUAUACAUCAGUAGCUUCAUUUUUGCAUCAUCUUAAUCUUUCACUUUAGAUUUCCGUUCGUCUAAAACUGAAAAUUAUAUUAUAUGGUAUCGUUGACAGAUAAAAGUAGCCUUUCAACAAUUUCAUUAUUAUAGGGUAGUUUUAUUGCAUGAUCUACCUCAAACAACANNNNNNNNNNNNNNNNNNNNNNNNNNNNNNNNNNNNNNNNNNNNNNNNNNNNNNNNNNNNNNNNNNNNNNNNNNNNNNNNNNNNNNNNNNNNNNNNNNNNGUAUAUAUAGAGAGGGAUAGAGCCAGAGAGAUCCCAUCCCAUUGUAAAAUAGUAUAAGGAACAAUUUGUAUAAUAAGCAUGCUAUUAUACCUUUCCAUAAAUAGGUUUUUUGUACAAAUCUUCGUGCUUGAUAUGGAUAAAAAUAGAUGCCAAUCGAUAACUACUAUCUAUUAUUAGUUGGAUUAUCACCAUUCCACUUUUAGAAGUUUUUCCAAAUUGUACUAUUUUUUUAAUCUAAAAAAUUAUCCGUAGCAUGUUUUCAAAAUUACAGCUUGGUUCUAGUUGAUAAGGUAGAUUUUCCGAGAUGCUACUCAUAUAUUCGUUCUAGCUAGGGACAAGUAACAUGGAAUCAAUUUCAGACGGCUAUUCAGGGGUCCACACUGACAAUGAUUAGUCACCCAUGCUGGUAUAAGUUAGCGAGAUGUUUUGUUACCUCUUGGAGAACCCAGAAUGAGCUUGGGACAAUUAAGUUGUGUAGAGAUUAGUCCUUGUUAGAUUCGAUGGCUGUCGCGCUGAUGUGUGGAUGGCAGCGAAAGGAAAAUCUGAGCAACGUGCAAGAUUGAUGGUAUUACCUAAGGUGGAAGUAGGUGUUUGACCUUAUUCUUUUCAGGAAAGUGAUCUGGAUCACCAAUCAAAUAUGUGUUGAAUUGGAUGGUCACAAUUUUUCACUUUGACAUAUUAGGUUAAAUGGCAAGAUGAGAUGAUGAGGGUAUGAUUAAUUUAUCUUUGAUGCCUCAAGGAAUUCUCGACUCACACUAGACAAUGCCUCGCAACAACCACUACUGCAAGAAAGCCUAGCAGGGACCCAGGCCAACCCGCCACUGAUAAAAGGCUACCAAUGGCGGGCACCCAGUGCUAACUAGUGAAUAGCGGGGGACAUUAACUAGCACCCAACGCUAUUAAAGGAUGCACCGGGGCAAGUUUACACCGAAGCAAGAUGCACCACUAGCAAAUAGUAUGCUCUGCCCGACACUGCUAGAAUUUUUUUUAUUAAAAAAACUGCAAUUUACUAUGAGGUACACAGUACAUUUCAUGCAUAGAAUUUGCAUCCGGUAUUAUUCAUAUGUACAUACAUAUAGUAUGUAUUAUUCAUAUGUACAUACACAUAGUAUGCAUCCAGUUCAUAUCCAUCGCUCUGAACACGAAUCCAAAAAUUGCUAGAAACACUACAUAGGUAGAGACUUAUAGCACGCACAUGGAGAUUAAAUUACCCUUUCUUUGUAGCCCAGCUAGAGAAGGCACAAGUCUACUCUUUUCAGGCAGAUCUCUAAACAGAACACAACAAGCUGAACAAAAUAAGCUAUAGAACCAAUGGACCAUAUGCAUAGUGAUGCGGUCUUCAUGUAGUGAUUGGAGUUGAUAUCGAAGUCCUGAGGUACUCCCAAACUGCCAGAUCUUCUGGUCCUUGGAUUCGAGCCGCUUCUCCACCAUGGUCUUCUAUGGUCGGCAACAUCAGUGCCAUGUGCAUACGUAUCUCAUACUAGAAAGUAUUCAAGUCAAUCAUAGUGAAGGAGAUCUAGAUAAUGAUAAAACACAAAAUGUUCCCGACCGGCCGGCAUCCUUUCUCUAUUUAUCUCCAAUUAACCAGGCAACGAGGGCGGCAUCACAUACCAGAAGAACAUGAAUAAAUAAAAUGUGUCAAUCAACAUUCAACUUAAUGACAAGUUUGGUGGGCUUCAAGUAGGAAGACUAGUUAUUACUUGGGAAAAUGCAACUAGCCAGUAUCUAUAGGAGGACUAGUAGUAUAAUGCCAACACAAUUAGUAAUUUCUUCCCCAUCAUAUAAAAACCCUGGUAUUUUGCUGAAAUUAUACACCAACAUCGACUUUCUCUCUCUCUCUCUAUNNNCUCUCUAUAUAUAUAAAUACUAGAAGGUGAAAGGGGCGGCGACACACCACUGCUCCUAAUGAUUGAACUAAUUAAGGCCUUUUUUGGAACCAUGAUAGAUUAUGAUAAUCUGGAUUAUGAAGAUAGAUUAUAUAAUCUGAUUUAUAAAAAUAAUCUAGGUGGGCAUGUUUGGAGGCCAGAUUAUAUAAACUGUAAUCUAGAUUUUACAUUGCAUAAUGACCUGUCAGCCCUCUAUUUUUUUAAAAAAAAGAGGAGGGUAGCGGUGGCAGGAGUGUAAAUAUCUCCAAUUUUAGAAGGAUAAUGGGUCAUUAGCAAUCCAUAAUCUGAUUUUACCUGGGGUAGAGUAGAUUGUGAUUUUUUAAUAAUCUGUCCAUCUAGUUUUUAUAAUCUACACCAUAAUUUGUCAUGUUUGGAGACAUAAUAGAUUAUAAAAACUGAAUUAUAUAAUCUGACUUGUUCCAAACAGGGCCUAACAUCACAGAGUUAUUCGAGAACCAUGUACUCAAGACAACCGGGAAACUUCGCCACGAGAAGCUUUGCAGAUGCAACAAUAUGUAUGAAAAUAAUUCACCUAUGAAUGGUACAUCAAAAAUAUAAUACACAAAAAUAUAGUCCUCCUUUCUAUGAGUUGUACUAUAGCAUCUCGACAUAAUCCACUCGCCUUUCCAUCAUUUCAAUCUUCAAGCGUAGUUACCGUUGCAUUAUAUACCUCACACAACGACUUACAAGUGGAAAUCGGAAAAUUUGUAAUAUUAUUCGUAUUGUUUCGGUUCAUCAUGGUAUAUUUUCUCUUAUGUGAAAAUGAAAAGUUUUUUAAAUAGACAAAUCGGCAUAUGCUAGUAGUCCCGCUUCAUUUCUUGUUUCCGAAGUUAUCUCUACAACAAUAUGUAGCUCCUCUACCAACUUAUAUGUGGAAAUGAUAUAAUUUCAACACUUUUGUCAUAACCUUUUUAUUCAUUACUAUAGGUUUUCUCUUCCUAGGAAAGUGGAAUAUUUUUCAAAUAGGGUAGUCGCCCUAUUACGACAUCAUUUUCUAUAUUUCAUAGUUUGCCACUACACUCUGCAGCAGUAUGUGGCUCCCGCUUAUGUAGAAAUUAUAGAUCAUUAGCAUCAUUAUCGCAUCAACUUAAUCUGUUACUUUAGAUUUCCGUUCGUCUAAAACUGAAAAUUAAUUUAUAUGGUAUCGUCGACAGAUAACAGUAGCCAAUCGACCAUUUCAUUAUUACAGGGUAGUUUUUGUUGCGUUAUGUACUUCAAACAACAACUUACAUGUCGAAAUCAGACAAUUUAUAAUAUUUUUGUACCAUUUCGAACCAUCAUGGUAUAUUUUUCACUUCUGUGAAACUGAAAAGUUAUUUAAAUAGCGAAAUCGACAUAUGCUAUCAGUCCUGCUUCAUUUGUUGCUGUCAAACUUGUCUCCGCAGCACUAUGUAGCUCCUCCAAAAAAAUAUUAGUACAAAUGAUAUAAUUUUAGGACAUUUUCAUAACCUUUUCAUUCAUUACUGUAAAUUUCCCUACCGUGUAAACUGAAACAUUUUUCAAACAGGAUAGAAGUCGUAUUACAACAACAUUUCAUUCAUUUCAUGCUUCGGUAUUAGUCUCUGCAGCAGUACGUUGCUCCUCUUAUAUAGGAAUCCUACAUCUUUAACACCAUUUUCGCACCCUCUUGAUUCAUCACUCUAGAUUUUCACUUCAUGUGAAAAUGAGAACUUAUUUAUAUAGCAUCUCAACAUAUUCCACUCGCCUUUCCAUCAUUUUCAUUUUCAAGAGUAGUUAUCGUUGCAUUAUAUACCUAACACCAUGACUUACAUGUGGAAAUCGGACAAUUUUUAAUAUGUUUUGUACCAUUUCGAACCAUCAUGGUAUAUUUUUCACUUCUAUGAAGCUGAAAAGUUGUUUAAAUAGCGAAAUCGACAUAUGCUAUCAGUCUUGCUUCAUUUGUUGUUGUCAAAGUUGUCUCUGCAGCAGUAUGUAGCUCCUCCAAAAACUUAUUUGUACAAAUGAUAUUAUUUUAGCACAUUUUCAUAACCUUCAUUUAUUACUGUAAAUUUCCCUACCGUGUAAACAGAAAUAUUUUUCAAAUAGGAUAGAAGUCAUAUUACAACAACCUUUCCUUCAGUUCAUGCUUCAGGAUUAGUCUCUGCAGAAGUAUGUGACUCCUCUUAUAUAGGAAUCAUACAUCUCUAGAACCAUUUUCGCACCCUCUUGAUUCAUCACUCUUGAUUUUCACUUCAAGUGAAAAUGAAAACUUAUUUAUAUAGCAUCUCAACAAAUUCAACUCGCCUUUCCAUCAUUUCAAUUUUCAAGAGUAGUUAGCAUUGCAUUAUAUACCUCACACAAUGACUUACAUGUGGAAAUCGGACAAUUUGUAAUUUUAUUCGUAUUGUUUCGGUCCAUCAUGGUAUAUUUUCUCUUAUGUGAAAAUAAAAAGUUAUUUAAAUAGACAAAUCGACAUAUGCUAGUAGUCCCGCUUCAUUUCUUGCUUCUGAAGUUGUCUCUACAGCAAUAUGUAGCUCCUUCAACAGCUUAAUUAGAUGCGGAAAUGAUAUAAUUUCAAUCCUUUUCUCGUAACAGUUUUAUUCGUUACUAUAGAUUUUAUAUUCGCGGGAAGUGGAAUAUUUUUCAAAUUGGUAGUCGCAAUAUUACGAGAUCAUUUUCUUCAUUUCAUAGUUUGCCACUACUCUGUGCAGCAGUAUGUGGCUCCGCCUUAUGUAGAAAUUAUACAUCAGUAGCAUCAUUUUCGCAUCAUCUUAAUCUUUCACUUUAGAUUUCCGUUCGUCUAAAACUGAAAAUUAUAUUAUAUGGCAUGGUUGAUAGAUAAAAGUAGCCUUUCAAGAAUUUCAUUAUUAUAGGGUAGUUUUAUUGCAUGAUCUACCUCAAACAACAACUUAUAUGUGGAAAUCGGACAAUUUGUAAUAUGUUUUGUACCAUUUCGAUCCAUCAUGGUAUACUUCCUCUUCUGUGAAACUGAAAAGUUGCUUAAAUUGAGAAAUCAACAUACGUUAUCAGUCCUGCUUCAUUUGUUAAUGUCAAAGUUUUCUCUGCAGCAGUAUGUAGCUCCUCCAAAAACUUAUUUGUACAAAUGAUACAAUUUUAACACAUUUACAUAACCUUUUCAUUCAUUACUGUAAAUUACCCUACCAUGUAAACUAAAACAUUUCUAAAACAGGAUAGAAGUGAUAUUUCAACAACCUUUCCUUUAUCUUUAGCACGAUUUUCAUACCCUCUUUAUUCAUCACUCUAUAUUUUCACUUCAUGUGAAAAUGAAAACAUAUUUAUAUAGCAUCUCGACAUAUUCCACUCGCCUUUCCAUCAUUUCAAUCUUCAAGCGUAGUUACCAUUGCAUUAUAUACCUCACAUAACGACUUACAAGUGGAAAUCGGAAAAUUUGUAAUAUUAUUCGUAUUGUUUCGGUUCAUCAUGGUAUAUUUUCUCUUAUGUGAAAAGAAAAAAAAAUUUAAAUAGACAAAUCGGCAUAUGCUAGUAGUCCCGCUUCAUUUCUUGUUUCUGAAGUUAUCUCUACAGCAAUAUGUAGCUCCUCUACCAACUUAUAUGUGGAAAUGAUAUAAUUUCAACACUUUUGUCAUAACCUUCUUAUUCAUUACUAUAAGUUUCCUCUUCCUAUGGAAGUGGAAUAUUUUUCAAAUAGGGUAGUCGCCCUAUUACGACAUCAUUUUCUAUAUGUCAUAGUUUGCCACUACACUCUGCAGCAAUAUGUGGCUCCCCCUUAUGUAGAAAUUAUAGAUCAUUAGCAUCAUUUUCGCAUCAUCUUAAUCUGUUACUUUAGAUUUCCGUUCGUCUAAAACUGAAAAUUAAUUUAUAUGGUAUCGUCGACAGAUAACAGUAGCCAAUCGACCAUUUCAUUAUUACAGGGUAGUUUUUGUUGCGUUAUGUACCUCAAACAACAACUUACAUGUCGAAAUGAGACAAUUUAUAAUAUGUUUUGUACCAUUUCGAACCAUCAUGGUAUAUUUUUCACUUCUGUGAAAUUGAAAAGUUAUUUAAAUAGCGAAAUCGACAUAUGCUAUCAGUCAUGCUUCAUUUGUUGCUGUCAAACUUGUCCCUGCAGCAGUAUGUAGCUCCUCCAAAAAAAUAUUAGUACAAAUGAUAUAGUUUUAGGACAUUUUCAUAACCUUCUCAUUCAUUACUGUAAAUUUCCCUACCGUGUAAACUGAAACAUUUUUCAAAUAGGAUAGAAGUCGUAUUACAACAACAUUUCAUUCAUUUCAUGCUUCGGUAUUAGUCUCUGCAGCAGUAUGUUGCUCCUCUUAUAUAGGAAUCAUACAUCUUUAGCACCAUUUUCGCACCCUCUUGAUUCAUCACUCUAGAUUUUCACUUCAUGUGAAAAUGAGAACUUAUUUAUAUAGCAUCUGAACAUAUUCCACUCGCCUUUCCAUCAUUUUAAUUUUCAAGAGUAGUUAUCGUUGCAUUAUAUACCUCACACCAUGACUUACAUGUGGAAAUCGGACAAUUUGUAAUAUGUUUUGUACCAUUUUGAACCAUCAUGGUAUAUUUUUCACUUCUAUGAAGCUGAAAAGUUGUUUAAAUAGCGAAAUCGACAUAUGCUAUCAGUCUUGCUUCAUUUGUUGUUGUCAAAGUUGUCUCUGCAGCAGUAUGUAGCUCCUCCAAAAACUUAUUUGUACAAAUGAUAUUAUUUUAGCACAUUUUCAUAACUUUUUAUUUAUUACUGUAAAUUUCCCUACCGUGUAAACUGAAAUAUUUUUCAAACAAGAUAGAAGUCAUACUACAACAACCUUUCCUUCAUUUCAUGCUUCGGAAUUAGUCUCUGCAGAAGUAUGUGGCUCCUCUUAUAUAGGAAUCAUACAUCUCUAGAACCAUUUUCGCACCCUCUUGAUUCAUCACUCUAGAUUUUCCCUUCAUGUGAAAAUGAAAACUUAUUUAUAUAGCAUCUCAACAUAUUCCACUCGCCUUUCCAUCAUUUCAAUUUUCAAGAGUAGUUACCAUUGCAUUAUAUACCUCACACAAUGACUUACAUGUGGAAAUCGGACAAUUUGUAAUUUUAUUCGUAUUGUUUCGGUCCAUCAUGGUAUAUUUUCUCUUAUGUGAAAAUAAAAGGGGGGGGGGGUAGACAAAUCGACAUAUGCUAGUAGUCCCGCUUCAUUUCUUGCUUCUGAAGUUGUCUCUACAGCAAUAUGUAGCUCCUUCAAGAACUUAGAUGCAGAAAUGAUAUAAUUUCAACACUUUUCUCGUAACAGUUUUAUUCAUUACUAUAGAUUUAUAUUCUCGGGGAAGUGGAAUAUUUUUUAAAUAGGGUAGUCGCAAUAUUACGAGAUCAUUUUCUUCAUUUCAUAGUUUGCCACUACUCUGUGCAGCAGUAUGCGGCUCCGCCUUAUGUAGAAAUUAUACAUUAGUAGCAUCAUUUUCGCAUCAUCUUAAUCUCUCACUUUAGAUUUCCGUUCGUCUAAAACUGAAAAUUAUAUUAUAUGGCAUCGUUGAUUGAUAAAAGUAGCCUUUCAACAAUUUCAUUAUUAUAGGGUAGUUUUAUUGCAUGAUCUACCUCAAACAACAACUUAUAUGUGGAUAACGGAUAAUUUGUAAUAUGUUUUGUGCCAUUUCGAUACAUCGUGGUAUACUUUCUCUUCUGUGAAACUGAAAAGUUGCUUAAAUUGAGAAAUCAACAUAUGCUAUCAGUCCUGCUUCAUUUGUUGAUGUCAAAUUUAUCUCUCCAGCAGUACGUAGCUCCUUCAAAAACUUAUUUGUACAAAUGAUACAAUUUUUACACAUUUACAUAACCUUUUCAUUCAUUACUAUAAAUUUCCCUACCCUGAAACUGAAACAUUUCUAAAACAGGAUAGAAGUGAUAUUACAACAACCUUUCCUUCGUUUCAUGCUUCGGGAUUAGUCUCUGCAGUAGUACGUGGCUCCUCUUAUAUAGGAAUCAUACAUCUUUAGCACCAUUUUCAUACCCUCUUGAUUCAUCACUCUAGAUUUUCACUUCAUGUGGAAAUGAAAACAUAUUUAUAUAGCAUCUCGACAUAUUCCACUCUCCUUUCCAUCAUUUCAAUCUUCAAGCGUAGUUACCGGUGCAUUAUAUACCUCACACAACGAGUUACAAGUGGAAAUCGGAAAAUUUGUAAUAUUAUUCGUAUUGUUUCGGUUCAUCAUGGUAUAUUUUCUCUUAUGUGAAAAUAAAAAGGUUUUGAAAUAGACAAAUCGGCAUAUGCUAGUAGUGCCGCUUCAUUUCUUGUUUCGGAAGUUGUCUCUACAUCAAUAUGUAGUUCCUCUACCAACUUAUAUGUGGAAAUGAUAUAAUUUCAACACUUUUGUCAUAACCUUUUUAUUCAUUACUAUAGGUUUUCUCUUCCUAGGGAAGUAGAAUAUUUUUCAAAUAGGGUAGUCGCCCUAUUACGACAUCAUUUUCUAUAUUUCAUUGUUUGCCACUACACUCUGCAGCAGUAUGUGGCUCCCCCUUAUGUAGAAAUUAUAGAUCAUUAGCAUCAUCUUAAUCUAUUACUUUUGAUUUCCGUUCGUCUAAAACUGAAAAUUAAUUUAUAUGGUAUCGUCGACAGAUAACAGUAGCCAACCGACCAUUUCAUUAUUACAGGGUAGUUUUUGUUGCGUUAUGUACCUCAAACAACAACUUACAUGUCGAAAUCAGACAAUUUAUAAUAUGUUUUGUACCAUUUCGAACCAUCAUGUUAUAUUUUUCAUUUAUGUGAAACUGAAAAGUUAUUUAAAUAGCGAAAUCGACAUAUGCUAUCAGUCCUGCUUCAUUUGUUGCUGUCAAACUUUUCUCUGCAGAAGUAUAUAGCUCCUCCAAAAACUUAUUUUUACAAAUUAUAUAAUUUUAGGACAUUUUAAUAAUCUUUUCAUUCAUUACUGUAAAUUUCCCUACCGUGUAAACUGAAACAUUUUUCAAACAGGACAGAAGUCAUAUUACAACAACAUUUCAUUCAUUUCAUGAUUCGGGAUUAGUCUCUGCAGCAGUAUGUUGCUCCUCUUAUAUAGGAAUCAUACGUCUUUAGCACCAUUUUCGCACCCUCUUGGUUCAUCACUCUAGAUUUUCACUUCAUGUGAAAAUGAGAACUUAUUUAUAUAGCAUCUCGACAUAUUCCACUCGCCUUUCCAUCAUUUUAAUUUUCAAGAGUAGUUAUCGUUGCAUUAUAUACCUCACACCAUGACUUACAUGUGGAAAUCGGAACAUUUGUAAUAUGUUUUGUACCAUUUCGAACCAUCAUGGUAUAUUUUUCACUUGUAUGAAGCUGAAAAGUUGUUUAAAUAGCGAAAUCGACAUAUGCUAUCAAUCCUGCUUCAUUCGUUGUUGUCAAAGUUGUCUUUGCAGCAGUAUGUAGCUCCUCCAAACACUUAUUUGUACAAAUGAUAUUAUUUUAGAAUAUUUUCAUAACCUUUUCAUUUAUUACUGUAAAUUUCCCUACCGUGUAAACUGAAACAUUUUUCAAACAGGAUAGAAGUCAUAUUACAACAACCUUUCCUUCAUUUCAUGCUUCGGGAUUAGUCUCUGCAGCAGUAUGUGGCUCCUCUUAUAUAGGAAUCAUACAUCUUUCGAACCAUUUUCGCACCCUCUUGGUUCAUCAUUCUAGAUUUUCACUUUAUGGGAAAAUGAAAACCUAUUUAUAUAGCAUCGCAACAUAUUCCACUCGCUUUUCCAUCAUUUCAAUUUUCAAGAGUAGUUACCAUUGCAUUAUAUACCUCACACAAUAACUUACAUGUGGAAAUCGAACAAUUUGUAAUUUUAUUCGUAUUGUUUCGGUCCAUCAUGGUAUAUUUUCUCUUAUUUGAAAAUAAAAAGUUAUUUAAUUAGACAAAUCGACAUAUGCUAGUAGUCCCGCUUCAUUUCUUGCUUCUGAAGUUGUCUCUACAGCAAUAUGUAGCUCCUUCAACAACAUAGAUGCAGAAAUGAUAUAAUUUCAACACUGUUCUUGUAACCGUUUUAUUCAUUACUAUAGAUUUUAUCUUCUCGGGGAAGUGGAAUAUUUUUCUAAUAGGGUAGUCGCAAUAUUACGAUAUCAUUUUAUUCAUUUCAUAGUUUGCCACUACUCUGUACAGCAGUAUGUGGCUCCGCCUUAUGUAGAAAUUAUACAUCAGUAGCUUCAUUUUCGCAUCAUCUUAAUCUUUCCCUUUAGAUUUCCGUUUGUCUAAAACUGAAAAUUAUAUUAUAUGCCAUCGUUGACAGAUAAAAGUAUCCUUUCAACAAUUUCAUUAUUAUAGGGUAGUUUUAUUGCAUGAUCUACCUCAAACAACAACGUAUAUGUGGAAAUUAGACAAUUUGUAAUACGUUUUAUACCAUUUCGAUCCAUCAUGGUAUACUUUCUCUUCUGUGAAACUGAAAAGUUGCUUAAAUUGAGAAAUCAACCUAUGCUAUUAGUCCUGCUUCAUUCGUUGAUGUCAAAUUUAUCUCUACAGCAGUAUGUAGCUCCUCCAAAAACUUAUUUACACAAAUGAUACAAUUUUAACACAUUUACAUAACCUUUUCAUUCAUUACUGUAAAUUUCCCUACCCUGUAAACUAAAACAUUUCUAAAACAGGAUAAAAGUAAUAUUACAACAACCUUUCCUUCAUUUCAUGCUUCGGGGUUAGUCUCUGCAGCAGUACGUGGCUCCUCUUAUAUAGGAAUCAUACAUCUUUACCACCAUUUUCAUACCCUCUUGAUUCAUCACUCUAGAUUUUCACUUCAUGUGAAAAUUAAAACAUAUUUAUAUAGCAUCUCGAUAUAUUCCACUCGCCUUUCCAUCAUUUCAAUCUUCAAGUGUAGUUACCGUUGCAUUAUAUACCUCACACAACGACUUACAAGUGGAAAUCGGAAAAUUUAUAAUAUUAUUCUGUCACAUCCCUAACCCUUAAGCAAGAUAGCCUUGUGCUCAUGUCUUCUUUGCAUUUGCAUCUAAGAAUUUUCAACAAGAACAAGAAAGUGGCAAAGGAAAAACUCAAAAACCCUAGCCACUACUUUAAAUAAAGAAAUUCUCAAACUAGCUAAAAUCAAUGAACCCAAAAUGGCCUCAAGAAAUGUUCAAACUUUCUGUUAAAUCAUGAAAGUAAAUGAGCAUUGGAGAAAACUAUUUUCUUGACACUUUAAGCUUUUUAAACUAAUGNNNNNNNNNNNNNNNNNNNNNNNNNNNNNNNNNNNNNNNNNNNNNNNNNNNNNNNNNNNNNNNNNNNNNNNNNNNNNNNNNNNNNNNNNNNNNNNNNNNNUUCUAGAAUAUAAGGAUUAUAACACUAUCACUCGUUUAUUCCAUCUUGCUUGCAAAGCUGAACGUGAAGUGCAGGAUCGACAGGCUUUGGCAAGAACUAACUUUUCUGCAGGUCGCACUUCCUCAUGGACGCCACGAACCACGUCUACUUCAACACGUCCUCCUGCAUCCGCACCACCUGUUUCAGCCGCCAAUUCCACCAGAGAUACCAGGAAACAGGCCCCUGCACCAUCGUUCGCCAAGAGUACACCUUCUGGGCCCGCACAGAGUUCUUCUUCAUCCACUGCAUCUACAGGGCAAACACAUGAGGUUAUCUGUCGUCGUUGCAAGGGUGGAGGUCAUUAUGCGAGAGAGUGUCCAUCCAAGCGUGUGAUGAUUAUUACUGAGGAUGGUGGAUAUGACUCCGCUAGUGAUUAUGACGAGGAGACUCUGGCUCUUAUUGCAAGUGAAGAACGGGGUGUAGAUGAUACUGCACAAGAGACACAAUACAUGGCUGCUGACUACGCUGACAGGUAUGAAAGCUUAGUUGCUCAACGUGUUUUAAGUGUGCAGGUAACACAGGUUGAACAAAAUCAGAGGCACAACUUGUUCCAUACUAAGGGAGUGGUAAAGGAACGUUCUGUUCGCGUAAUCAUCGAUGGAGGGAGUUGCAACAACUUAGCUAGCAUGGAGAUGGUGGAGAAGCUAUCUCUCACCACCAGACCACAUCCUCAUCCUUAUUAUAUCCAGUGGUUCAACAACAGUGGCAAGGUUAAGGUAACACGUACUGUUCGUGUGCAUUUUAGCAUUGCUACAUAUUCUGAUUUUGUUGAUUGUGAUGUGGUACCCAUGCAAGCAUGCUCCGUUUUACUUGGUAGACCAUGGCAAUUUGAUAAAAAUUCUGUACACCAUGGUAGAACAAAUCAGUAUACUCUUGUUCAUAAGGAUCAAAAUAUAACUUUGCUUCCUAUGUCUCCUGAACAUAUUAUGAAAGAUGACAUUGCUCGAGCUAGUAAAGCAAAACAAGACCUACAUAAGAGUGAAAAUCAGAUUGUAGCAAAAGAAUUUGAGCAACACAAUAAGCCUAAUAAAUCAUCAUCUAGUGUUGCCUCUGAAAUAAAACUGAAAAGUGGUUGUUUACUUGCCACUAAAUCCGAUAUUACUGAUUUGGAUAUCACUACAUCUGUUUGCUAUGCUUUCGUCUGCAAAGAGGUAUUAUUUUCAUUUAAGGACAUGCCAUCCUCUUUGCCUCCUGCUGUCAUUAACAUUUUGCAGGAGUUCGCUGACGUCUUUCCACAAGACGUGCCACCGGGAUUACCACCUAUUAGAGGGAUUGAGCAUCAGAUUGAUUUAAUUCCCGGUGCAUCGCUACCAAACCGUGCACCAUACCGUACCAAUCCAGAGGAGACGAAGGAGAUUAUGCGUCAAGUACAAGAGCUACUCGACAAAGGUUAUAUACGUGAAUCUCUUAGUCCUUGUGCUGUGCCUAUUAUUCUAGUGCCGAAAAAGGAUGGUACAUCGCGUAUGUGUGUUGAUUGUAGAGGCAUUAAUAAUAUUACUAUUCGUUAUCGUCAUCCUAUUUCUAGGCUAGAUGAUAUGCUUGAUGAAUUAAGUGGCUCUAUAAUUUUCUCUAAAGUUGAUUUGCGUAGUGGAUACCAUCAAAUUCGCAUGAAAUUGGGAGAUGAAUGGAAAACGGCAUUUAAAACUAAGUUUGGAUUAUAUGAGUGGUUAGUUAUGCCUUUUGGUUUGACUAAUGCACCUAGCACUUUCAUGAUGCACGUUUGUUUGGUAACCUUGGGAAGUGCACCUUUUGCACGGACCGAGUAUCUUUUCUUGGCUAUGUUGUUACUCCACAGGGAAUUGAAGUUGAUAAAGCUAAGAUUGAAGCUAUUGAGAGUUGGCCGCAACCCAAAACGGUCACACAAGUGCGGAGUUUCCUUGGACUCGCUGGGUUUUAUAGGCGUUUUGUGAGAGAUUUUAGCACCAUUGCUGCACCUCUCAAUGAGCUUACAAAGAAAGAUGUGCCUUAUUCUUGGGGUACUGCACAGGAAGAAGCCUUCACAGUUUUGAAAGAUAAGUUAACUCAUGCUCCCUUACUCCAACUUCCUGAUUUUAAUAAGACUUUCGAGCUUGAAUGUGAUGCUAGUGGAAUUGGAUUAGGAGGUGUGUUAUUACAAGAUGGUAAACCUGUUGCAUACUUUUCUGAAAAACUAAGUGGGCCUAGUCUGAAUUAUUCUACUUAUGAUAAGGAAUUAUAUGCUCUUGUUCGGACUUUGGAAACAUGGCAACAUUAUUUAUGGCCCAAAGAAUUUGUCAUACAUUCUGAUCAUGAAUCUUUGAAACAUAUUAAAAGUCAAGCAAAACUGAACCGUAGACAUGCUAAAUGGGUUGAAUUCAUUGAGACUUUCCCGUACGUCAUUAAACACAAGAAGGGUAAAGAUAAUGUUAUUGCUGAUGCUUUGUCUCGUCGUUAUACUAUGCUUUCACAACUUGACUUUAAAAUAUUUGGUUUGGAAACCAUCAAAGAUCAAUAUGUGCAUGAUGCUGAUUUCAAAGAUGUGUUGGAGAAUUGUAGAGAAGGGAGAACAUGGAACAAGUUCAUCAUUAAUAAUGGCUUUGUGUUUCGUGCUAACAAGCUAUGCAUUCCAGCUAGCUCUAUUCUUCUUUUGUUGCUACAGGAGGCGCAUGGAGGAGGAUUGAUGGGACACUUUGGCGUAAAGAAGACGGAGGACGUACUUGCUACACAUUUCUUUUGGCCAAGGAUGCGACGGGAUGUUGAGCGUUUUGUUGCUCGCUGCACGACAUGUCAAAAAGCUAAGUCACGACUGAAUCCUCAUGGUUUAUAUAUGCCUUUGCCUGUACCUAGUGUUCCUUGGGAGGAUAUAUCUAUGGACUUUGUUUUAGGUUUACCUCGAACAAAGAAGGGGAGGGAUAGCAUAUUUGUUGUCGUGGAUAGAUUUUCAAAAAUGGCACACUUUAUACCAUGUCAUAAAAGUGAUGAUGCCGCUAAUGUGGCUGAUUUGUUCUUUCGUGAAAUUAUUCGCUUACAUGGUGUGCCAAAUACGAUUGUUUCAGAUCGUGAUGCUAAAUUUCUUAGCCACUUUUGGCGAUGUUUAUGGGCUAAGUUGGGGACAAAAUUGCUUUUUAGUACUACAUGUCACCCCCAAACUGAUGGACAAACUGAAGUAGUCAAUAGAUCUUUGUCUACUAUGCUUAGGGCUGUUUUGAAGAACAAUCUAAAACUGUGGGAAGACUGCUUGCCUCAUAUUGAAUUUGCUUAUAAUCGUUCGCUGCAUUCUACUACAAAGAUGUGCCCUUUUGAAAUUGUGUAUGGUUUCCUACCUCGUGCACCUAUUGAUUUGUUACCUAUUCCAUCUUCGGAGAAGGUUAAUUUUGAUGCUAAAGAACGUGCUGAAUUGAUAUUGAAGAUGCAUGAGUUAACUAAGGAAAACAUUGAGCGCAUGAAUGCUAGAUAUAAACUUGCUGGAGAUAAGGGUAGAAAACAUGUUGUCUUUGCACCUGGAGAUCUUGUUUGGUUGCAUUUGCGUAAGGAUAGGUUUCCGGAUUUGCGUAAGUCAAAGCUAAUGCCGCGUGCUGGUGGUCCUUUCAAAGUGUUAGAAAAAAUAAAUGAUAACGCAUAUCGACUUGAGCUGCCUGCAGAUUUUGGGGUUAGUCCCACUUUUAACAUUGCAGAUUUGAAGCCAUAUUUGGGUGAGGAAGAUGAGCUUCCGUCGAGGACGACUUCAGUUCAAGAAGGGGAGGAUGAUGAGGACAUCAAUACCAUUGCUACACCCACAGCACCAGCUGCUAUACAUACUGGACCAGUUACUAGAGCUCGUGCACGCCAAUUGAAUUACCAGGUACUUUCGUUUAUUGGGAAUACUUCUAAUGUUCAUGAACAUAUGAUGCUGCCUAAGUUAGAUACUUUUGUUGUUCUCAUGAAUGAAGGACCUAGCAUGGACAAGAAGGAUAUCCGUUGGAGCGGGAUGAAGCAUGGCAAACAAGGGGCACGCACGGGAGAGAACAAUGGAGCUUCCCUUGGUGAUUUCCGCACUUUAAAGCCACCAUAAGGAGAGCAUGAAGACUUUGGACGAAAUAUUCAAGACCCCACUUUAUUAAUUUCGUCCAUAGGCUAUUAUAGGUGUUGCGCCACCUUAUUUUUGGGCCAGGUCCAUGUAAUUUCGAAAUACCAUAAUAUAGGCUAUUUUUAGAGUCCGUAUGUGUGGGGAAACCGAGACUAGGGCUGUUUUCGGAACCCUUCCCCAAGGGUUACGAAAUUGCCUCUCUUUUCCCUCAUAUAUACAGCCCUUAGGGCACCGUUUAGACUUGGGUUUUGUUUAGAUUUCAAGUUCGCCAUAGCUGCAACUUCGCGUUCUUCGUUUGUGUUCUACGACCAGACAAAGACGUCACAGAACCCCACCUUCAUCAAUAAAGCUUUUCUCUUAUAUUCGCAAUAUCUUGAUUGCAAUCUUGGUUUCUUGCUUGUUCUUCGUUUGCGUGCAGGAAACAGACCCUCGUGGUCAGGUUGAUCGUGCUCCGGCGUGAUCAAUAACCUCUCGGAGUUGGUUUAGCGAUUGCUAAGGCGCGACGUCCUCACACGUUCGUAGUCGGAUCGUCAAAGUCCACUCCAUCUAAACGAUAUCCGCGAUCUCAUCGAAAGACAGGGACAACUUCGCCUCUAUCAAGUGGUAUCAGAUUUUCAGGUUGCUCGGUGAGAUUCUACCAGUUUUUCAUCUUUAGAUCGGAUCUGUUCUUCCUACCUAUCGUCCACGAAACAGCCAAAAAAAAAAUUAGGAUUAGAUCUUCAUAUCCGAACCAAUCUGAGCCUUUGCAUAAUCUUUUCAGUAGUUUGCUUAGUUGAAUUUGCGGUUACAUCGUCGUGUCGAGUUGCUGGUCUUAGUGUCUAGUUCUUUAGAGUUUCGAGUUCUGUUCAUAGUUUGUCACGCCGUCACCGCAUCGUAUUUCAUCAUAUACCACCACCACGCCACCGUUAUCCUUGCUGCCAUAUACCACCACUUUUCCCUAUCGUUUUGUUAGUUUUUUUAAAGAGUUUUGAGACCCUCGCCAUCAUAGUGAUUUUUUCGCAUUUUUUUGGCCGCCGCAGCCCCGCACCGCUCAAAAAAAAAAAGUGUCCACAAAAAAUUUCGUCCCUAUCCUGUUUUUAGUCCUUGGGAAGAGUUUUGAGCCACUCGCCAUUAUAGUNNNNNNNNNNNNNNNNNNNNNNNNNNNNNNNNNNNNNNNNNNNAAAAGAAGAAAAAAUCAGAGUGGCUCUUCCCUUGAUUAGUACGUGUCGUCGUGACUUCGUUGGUGUUCUAGGCUCGCGUCUCUAGUACGAUCUAGCCUAGGACCAGCACGGUACCGUCGUUGAGCGUCUUUUCAAUUUUGCAUCUCUGAACUGAUUAUAGCUGACCCUUCUUGCUACCAUAUUAUAAGCCUUCCCAGCUCCACAUACAUCUCCAUCGUGUGUUUGACACCACCUGGCAAUCGCUAUAUCCAACCUUCGAGAGUUUUGACUACACCGGUUGCCGAUCGCCACCUGCUGCUGGGUAAGAAUUUGUAAGAAAUUGAGAUUUGCUUGACAGAUUUGUGACACACCACCACCACUUCCUAGUAGUCUGUAGGGUCAUAUUUUGCUGUGUUCCUAUUGCUGCUAACCAUGCCAGGAUCACACGACGAGGAGAUCGACUGGGAGAACCUGACCAACCAGGAGCUUUAUGAUAAAUUUCAGCAAAUGAUGUCUCAGCAGGUACAGGGUUUCCUAACAACCUUUGGAGAGGCCAUGGAAAAGCUGGACGGUAUGGAGCAGAAAUUCGACACCAAGAUGAAUGCCAAGUUCAAUGAGGUGCUUGCCAGAUUACCACCACCAGCUAUAGCUUCUGUUCCCCUUCAACCACAACAACGGCGACGACCGGGACGCGUGCCUCUCAGCCACGUGCAGCCUUUUAUUGGUCUUGAUCCUCCAACUGCUGCUGCUGGUGCUGGUGCUGGUGCUGCUACUGCUGCUGCUGAGGUUUCUACGGCUGAGCAGCAUGAUGAUUAUGAUGAUGAUUACGAUGGUGAUUACGAUGCUGAGGGAGAGCAUGCUCCAGUUCAGCACGGGGAACAACAACCACCACCACGACAAGCCGCCGGUCGUCCACAUGGAUACAACCGCAACGGUAGGGAUGCACCACACCCUCAGGUACGGGAUCACGACCAUCUCCCUAAAGUUAAAUUGAAUAUUCCUAGUUUUGAUGGUCGCUAUGUUCCUGAUCUAUAUCUUACUUGGGAGUUAGAAACAGAACAACGUUUUACAUGCUUGCAAUUUCCUGAAGAUAGACGUGUGGCUGCUGCUGUUUGUUCUUUCACUAGUUUUGCUUGUGUUUGGUGGUCUGAAUAUUGUCGAAUACAUCAUGCUAAUAUUCCAGCUACUUGGGCUGCUUUGAAAACUGCUAUGCGUACUCGUUGGUUUCCACCAUAUUAUCAACGAGACUUACUUCAAAACUUGCAGCGUUUAAGACAAGGAAAAAAGUCUGUAGAAGAAUAUUAUCAGGAAUUACAAACUGGCAUGAUUAGAUGUGGUAUUGUUGAGGACAAUGAAGCUAUGCUUGCACGUUUUAUGGGUGGACUAAAUAGAGAUAUUCAGACUAUUCUAGAAUAUAAGGAUUAUAACACUAUCACUCGUUUAUUCCAUCUUGCUUGCAAAGCUGAACGUGAAGUGCAGGAUCGACAGGCUUUGGCAAGAACUAACUUUUCUGCAGGUCGCACUUCCUCAUGGACGCCACGAACCACGUCUACUUCAACACGUCCUCCUGCAUCCGCACCACCUGUUUCAGCCGCCAAUUCCACCAGAGAUACCAGGAAACAGGCCCCUGCACCAUCGUUCGCCAAGAGUACACCUUCUGGGCCCGCACAGAGUUCUUCUUCAUCCACUGCAUCUACAGGGCAAACACAUGAGGUUAUCUGUCGUCGUUGCAAGGGUGGAGGUCAUUAUGCGAGAGAGUGUCCAUCCAAGCGUGUGAUGAUUAUUACUGAGGAUGGUGGAUAUGACUCCGCUAGUGAUUAUGACGAGGAGACUCUGGCUCUUAUUGCAAGUGAAGAACGGGGUGUAGAUGAUACUGCACAAGAGACACAAUACAUGGCUGCUGACUACGCUGACAGGUAUGAAAGCUUAGUUGCUCAACGUGUUUUAAGUGUGCAGGUAACACAGGUUGAACAAAAUCAGAGGCACAACUUGUUCCAUACUAAGGGAGUGGUAAAGGAACGUUCUGUUCGCGUAAUCAUCGAUGGAGGGAGUUGCAACAACUUAGCUAGCAUGGAGAUGGUGGAGAAGCUAUCUCUCACCACCAGACCACAUCCUCAUCCUUAUUAUAUCCAGUGGUUCAACAACAGUGGCAAGGUUAAGGUAACACGUACUGUUCGUGUGCAUUUUAGCAUUGCUACAUAUUCUGAUUUUGUUGAUUGUGAUGUGGUACCCAUGCAAGCAUGCUCCGUUUUACUUGGUAGACCAUGGCAAUUUGAUAAAAAUUCUGUACACCAUGGUAGAACAAAUCAGUAUACUCUUGUUCAUAAGGAUCAAAAUAUAACUUUGCUUCCUAUGUCUCCUGAACAUAUUAUGAAAGAUGACAUUGCUCGAGCUAGUAAAGCAAAACAAGACCUACAUAAGAGUGAAAAUCAGAUUGUAGCAAAAGAAUUUGAGCAACACAAUAAGCCUAAUAAAUCAUCAUCUAGUGUUGCCUCUGAAAUAAAACUGAAAAGUGGUUGUUUACUUGCCACUAAAUCCGAUAUUACUGAUUUGGAUAUCACUACAUCUGUUUGCUAUGCUUUCGUCUGCAAAGAGGUAUUAUUUUCAUUUAAGGACAUGCCAUCCUCUUUGCCUCCUGCUGUCAUUAACAUUUUGCAGGAGUUCGCUGACGUCUUUCCACAAGACGUGCCACCGGGAUUACCACCUAUUAGAGGGAUUGAGCAUCAGAUUGAUUUAAUUCCCGGUGCAUCGCUACCAAACCGUGCACCAUACCGUACCAAUCCAGAGGAGACGAAGGAGAUUAUGCGUCAAGUACAAGAGCUACUCGACAAAGGUUAUAUACGUGAAUCUCUUAGUCCUUGUGCUGUGCCUAUUAUUCUAGUGCCGAAAAAGGAUGGUACAUCGCGUAUGUGUGUUGAUUGUAGAGGCAUUAAUAAUAUUACUAUUCGUUAUCGUCAUCCUAUUUCUAGGCUAGAUGAUAUGCUUGAUGAAUUAAGUGGCUCUAUAAUUUUCUCUAAAGUUGAUUUGCGUAGUGGAUACCAUCAAAUUCGCAUGAAAUUGGGAGAUGAAUGGAAAACGGCAUUUAAAACUAAGUUUGGAUUAUAUGAGUGGUUAGUUAUGCCUUUUGGUUUGACUAAUGCACCUAGCACUUUCAUGAUGCACGUUUGUUUGGUAACCUUGGGAAGUGCACCUUUUGCACGGACCGAGUAUCUUUUCUUGGCUAUGUUGUUACUCCACAGGGAAUUGAAGUUGAUAAAGCUAAGAUUGAAGCUAUUGAGAGUUGGCCGCAACCCAAAACGGUCACACAAGUGCGGAGUUUCCUUGGACUCGCUGGGUUUUAUAGGCGUUUUGUGAGAGAUUUUAGCACCAUUGCUGCACCUCUCAAUGAGCUUACAAAGAAAGAUGUGCCUUAUUCUUGGGGUACUGCACAGGAAGAAGCCUUCACAGUUUUGAAAGAUAAGUUAACUCAUGCUCCCUUACUCCAACUUCCUGAUUUUAAUAAGACUUUCGAGCUUGAAUGUGAUGCUAGUGGAAUUGGAUUAGGAGGUGUGUUAUUACAAGAUGGUAAACCUGUUGCAUACUUUUCUGAAAAACUAAGUGGGCCUAGUCUGAAUUAUUCUACUUAUGAUAAGGAAUUAUAUGCUCUUGUUCGGACUUUGGAAACAUGGCAACAUUAUUUAUGGCCCAAAGAAUUUGUCAUACAUUCUGAUCAUGAAUCUUUGAAACAUAUUAAAAGUCAAGCAAAACUGAACCGUAGACAUGCUAAAUGGGUUGAAUUCAUUGAGACUUUCCCGUACGUCAUUAAACACAAGAAGGGUAAAGAUAAUGUUAUUGCUGAUGCUUUGUCUCGUCGUUAUACUAUGCUUUCACAACUUGACUUUAAAAUAUUUGGUUUGGAAACCAUCAAAGAUCAAUAUGUGCAUGAUGCUGAUUUCAAAGAUGUGUUGGAGAAUUGUAGAGAAGGGAGAACAUGGAACAAGUUCAUCAUUAAUAAUGGCUUUGUGUUUCGUGCUAACAAGCUAUGCAUUCCAGCUAGCUCUAUUCUUCUUUUGUUGCUACAGGAGGCGCAUGGAGGAGGAUUGAUGGGACACUUUGGCGUAAAGAAGACGGAGGACGUACUUGCUACACAUUUCUUUUGGCCAAGGAUGCGACGGGAUGUUGAGCGUUUUGUUGCUCGCUGCACGACAUGUCAAAAAGCUAAGUCACGACUGAAUCCUCAUGGUUUAUAUAUGCCUUUGCCUGUACCUAGUGUUCCUUGGGAGGAUAUAUCUAUGGACUUUGUUUUAGGUUUACCUCGAACAAAGAAGGGGAGGGAUAGCAUAUUUGUUGUCGUGGAUAGAUUUUCAAAAAUGGCACACUUUAUACCAUGUCAUAAAAGUGAUGAUGCCGCUAAUGUGGCUGAUUUGUUCUUUCGUGAAAUUAUUCGCUUACAUGGUGUGCCAAAUACGAUUGUUUCAGAUCGUGAUGCUAAAUUUCUUAGCCACUUUUGGCGAUGUUUAUGGGCUAAGUUGGGGACAAAAUUGCUUUUUAGUACUACAUGUCACCCCCAAACUGAUGGACAAACUGAAGUAGUCAAUAGAUCUUUGUCUACUAUGCUUAGGGCUGUUUUGAAGAACAAUCUAAAACUGUGGGAAGACUGCUUGCCUCAUAUUGAAUUUGCUUAUAAUCGUUCGCUGCAUUCUACUACAAAGAUGUGCCCUUUUGAAAUUGUGUAUGGUUUCCUACCUCGUGCACCUAUUGAUUUGUUACCUAUUCCAUCUUCGGAGAAGGUUAAUUUUGAUGCUAAAGAACGUGCUGAAUUGAUAUUGAAGAUGCAUGAGUUAACUAAGGAAAACAUUGAGCGCAUGAAUGCUAGAUAUAAACUUGCUGGAGAUAAGGGUAGAAAACAUGUUGUCUUUGCACCUGGAGAUCUUGUUUGGUUGCAUUUGCGUAAGGAUAGGUUUCCGGAUUUGCGUAAGUCAAAGCUAAUGCCGCGUGCUGGUGGUCCUUUCAAAGUGUUAGAAAAAAUAAAUGAUAACGCAUAUCGACUUGAGCUGCCUGCAGAUUUUGGGGUUAGUCCCACUUUUAACAUUGCAGAUUUGAAGCCAUAUUUGGGUGAGGAAGAUGAGCUUCCGUCGAGGACGACUUCAGUUCAAGAAGGGGAGGAUGAUGAGGACAUCAAUACCAUUGCUACACCCACAGCACCAGCUGCUAUACAUACUGGACCAGUUACUAGAGCUCGUGCACGCCAAUUGAAUUACCAGGUACUUUCGUUUAUUGGGAAUACUUCUAAUGUUCAUGAACAUAUGAUGCUGCCUAAGUUAGAUACUUUUGUUGUUCUCAUGAAUGAAGGACCUAGCAUGGACAAGAAGGAUAUCCGUUGGAGCGGGAUGAAGCAUGGCAAACAAGGGGCACGCACGGGAGAGAACAAUGGAGCUUCCCUUGGUGAUUUCCGCACUUUAAAGCCACCAUAAGGAGAGCAUGAAGACUUUGGACGAAAUAUUCAAGACCCCACUUUAUUAAUUUCGUCCAUAGGCUAUUAUAGGUGUUGCGCCACCUUAUUUUUGGGCCAGGUCCAUGUAAUUUCGAAAUACCAUAAUAUAGGCUAUUUUUAGAGUCCGUAUGUGUGGGGAAACCGAGACUAGGGCUGUUUUCGGAACCCUUCCCCAAGGGUUACGAAAUUGCCUCUCUUUUCCCUCAUAUAUACAGCCCUUAGGGCACCGUUUAGACUUGGGUUUUGUUUAGAUUUCAAGUUCGCCAUAGCUGCAACUUCGCGUUCUUCGUUUGUGUUCUACGACCAGACAAAGACGUCACAGAACCCCACCUUCAUCAAUAAAGCUUUUCUCUUAUAUUUGCAAUAUCUUGAUUGCAAUCUUGGUUUCUUGCUUGUUCUUCGUUUGCGUGCAGGAAACAGACCCUCGUGGUCAGGUUGAUCGUGCUCCGGCGUGAUCAAUAACCUCUCGGAGUUGGUUUAGCGAUUGCUAAGGCGCGACGUCCUCACACGUUCGUAGUCGGAUCGUCAAAGUCCACUCCAUCUAAACGAUAUCCGCGAUCUCAUCGAAAGACAGGGACAACUUCGCCUCUAUCAAGUGGUAUCAGAUUUUCAGGUUGCUCGGUGAGAUUCUACCAGUUUUUCAUCUUUAGAUCGGAUCUGUUCUUCCUACCUAUCGUCCACGAAACAGCCAAAAAAAAAAUUAGGAUUAGAUCUUCAUAUCCGAACCAAUCUGAGCCUUUGCAUAAUCUUUUCAGUAGUUUGCUUAGUUGAAUUUGCGGUUACAUCGUCGUGUCGAGUUGCUGGUCUUAGUGUCUAGUUCUUUAGAGUUUCGAGUUCUGUUCAUAGUUUGUCACGCCGUCACCGCAUCGUAUUUCAUCAUAUACCACCACCACGCCACCGUUAUCCUUGCUGCCAUAUACCACCACUUUUCCCUAUCGUUUUGUUAGUUUUUUUAAAGAGUUUUGAGACCCUCGCCAUCAUAGUGAUUUUUUCGCAUUUUUUUGGCCGCCGCAGCCCCGCACCGCUCAAAAAAAAAAAGUGUCCACAAAAAAUUUCGUCCCUAUCCUGUUUUUAGUCCUUGGGAAGAGUUUUGAGCCACNNNNNNNNNNNNNNNNNNNNNNNNNNNNNNNNNNNNNNNNNNNNNNNNNNNNNNNNNNNNNNNNNNNNNNNNNNNNNNNNNNNNNNNNNNNNNNNNNNNNUUCCACUUGUAAGUCGUUGUGUGAGGUAUAUAAUGCAACGGUAACUACGCUUGAAGAUUGAAAUGAUGGAAAGGCGAGUGGAUUAUGUCGAGAUGCUAUAGUACAACUCAUAGAAAGGAGGACUAUAUUUUUGUGUAUUAUAUUUUUGAUGUACCAUUCAUAGGUGAAUUAUUUUCAUACAUAUUGUUGCAUCUGCAAAGCUUCUCGUGGCGAAGUUUCCCGGUUGUCUUGAGUACAUGGUUCUCGAAUAACUCUGUGAUGUUAGGCCCUGUUUGGAACAAGUCAGAUUAUAUAAUUCAGUUUUUAUAAUCUAUUAUGUCUCCAAACAUGACAAAUUAUGGUGUAGAUUAUAAAAACUAGAUGGACAGAUUAUUAAAAAAUCACAAUCUACUCUACCCCAGGUAAAAUCAGAUUAUGGAUUGCUAAUGACCCAUUAUCCUUCUAAAAUUGGAGAUAUUUACACUCCUGCCACCGCUACCCUCCUCUUUUUUUUAAAAAAAUAGAGGGCUGACAGGUCAUUAUGCAAUGUAAAAUCUAGAUUACAGUUUAUAUAAUCUGGCCUCCAAACAUGCCCACCUAGAUUAUUUUUAUAAAUCAGAUUAUAUAAUCUAUCUUCAUAAUCCAGAUUAUCAUAAUCUAUCAUGGUUCCAAAAAAGGCCUUAAUUAGUUCAAUCAUUAGGAGCAGUGGUGUGUCGCCGCCCCUUUCACCUUCUAGUAUUUAUAUAUAUAGAGAGAGAGAGAGAAAGUCGAUGUUGGUGUAUAAUUUCAGCAAAAUACCAGGGUUUUUAUAUGAUGGGGAAGAAAUUACUAAUUGUGUUGGCAUUAUACUACUAGUCCUCCUAUAGAUACUGGCUAGUUGCAUUUUCCCAAGUAAUAACUAGUCUUCCUACUUGAAGCCCACCAAACUUGUCAUUAAGUUGAAUGUUGAUUGACACAUUUUAUUUAUUCAUGUUCUUCUGGUAUGUGAUGCCGCCCUCGUUGCCUGGUUAAUUGGAGAUAAAUAGAGAAAGGAUGCCGGCCGGUCGGGAACAUUUUGUGUUUUAUCAUUAUCUAGAUCUCCUUCACUAUGAUUGACUUGAAUACUUUCUAGUAUGAGAUACGUAUGCACAUGGCACUGAUGUUGCCGACCAUAGAAGACCAUGGUGGAGAAGCGGCUCGAAUCCAAGGACCAGAAGAUCUGGCAGUUUGGGAGUACCUCAGGACUUCGAUAUCAACUCCAAUCACUACAUGAAGACCGCAUCACUAUGCAUAUGGUCCAUUGGUUCUAUAGCUUAUUUUGUUCAGCUUGUUGUGUUCUGUUUAGAGAUCUGCCUGAAAAGAGUAGACUUGUGCCUUCUCUAGCUGGGCUACAAAGAAAGGGUAAUUUAAUCUCCAUGUGCGUGCUAUAAGUCUCUACCUAUGUAGUGUUUCUAGCAAUUUUUGGAUUCGUGUUCAGAGCGAUGGAUAUGAACUGGAUGCAUACUAUGUGUAUGUACAUAUGAAUAAUACCGGAUGCAAAUUCUAUGCAUGAAAUGUACUAUGUACAUCAUAGUACAUUUGCAGUUUUUUUAAUUAAAAAAUUUCUAGCAGUGUCGGGCAGAGCAUAAUAUUUGCUAGUGGUGCAUCUUGCUUCGGUGUAAACUUGCCCCGGUGCAUCCUUUAAUAGCGUUGGGUGCUAGUUAAUGUCCCCCGCUAUUCACUAGUUAGCACUGGGUGCCCGCCAUUGGUAGCCUUUUAUCAGUGGCGGGUUGGCCUGGGUCCCUGCUAGGCUUUCUUGCAGUAGUGGUUGUUGCGAGGCAUUGUCUAGUGUGAGUCGAGAAUUCCUUGAGGCAUCAAAGAUAAAUUAAUCAUAUCCUCAUCAUCUCAUCUUGCCAUUUAACCUAAUAUGUCAAAGUGAAAAAUUGUGACCAUCCAAUUCAACACAUAUUUGAUUGGUGAUCCAGAUCACUUUCCUGAAAAGAAUAAGGUCAAACACCUACUUCCACCUUAGGUAAUACCAUCAAUCUUGCACGUUGCUCAGAUUUUCCUUUCGCUGCCAUCCACACAUCAGCGCGACAGCCAUCGAAUCUAACAAGGACUAAUCUCUACACAACUUAAUUGUCCCAAGCUCAUUCUGGGUUCUCCAAGAGGUAACAAAACAUCUCGCUAACUUAUACCAGCAUGGGUGACUAAUCAUUGUCAGUGUGGACCCCUGAAUAGCCGUCUAAAAUUGAUUCCAUGUUACUUGUCCCUAGCUAGAACGAAUAUAUGAGUAGCAUCUCGGAAAAUCUACCUUAUCAACUAGAACCAAGCUGUAAUUUUGAAAACAUGCUACGGAUAAUUUUUUAGAUUAAAAAAAUAGUACAAUUUGGAAAAACUUCUAAAAGUGGAAUGGUGAUAAUCCAACUAAUAAUAGAUAGUAUUUAUCAAUUGGCAUCUAUUUUUAUCCAUAUCAAGCACGAAGAUUUGUACAAAAAACCUAUUUAUGGAAAGGUAUAAUAGCAUGCUUAUUAUACAAAUUGUUCCUUAUACUAUUUUACAAUGGGAUGGGAUCUCUCUGGCUCUAUCCCUCUCUAUAUAUACAUGAUUAUAUGAGUGUGUAAAAAUCAUCUUAUAGAUCUCUUGAAACAAGUGUCCCAAUAGCAUCGUAUUAUCAAGAUGGACAAGUACCCAACUCCCAUCCGUGCAAGAGUCCUACUGGAAGCUCUACUUCUUCUUCUCAUAUGUCAUGCUACUACUACACAAUGUANNNNNNNNNNNNNNNNNNNNNNNNNNNNNNNNNNNNNNNNNNNNNNNNNNNNNNNNNNNNNNNNNNNNNNNNNNNNNNNNNNNNNNNNNNNNNNNNNNNNACGGUUAACUCCUCGGCUGCAGCCUUACCUUAGCCGGGACCGUUUGCGUCUUUUGACUCACGUAUGCAAUAGUGUCGCUAGCAUUCCAAUGUCAAAGAACCCGGAUCGACAUGUCUAGUCAUAAACCAAAGGGGCAGUUCCGCACAAGGACAGGCAUACAUGACCCAACAAAGCAGGUGUCGGUCAUCAGCGAAUGUAGACGAGUCGUAGCAAGCUACAAGGACUCCAUUACAUCACGUGACAUUUCCCCAAAGAGGACAGACAAAGCAGCUAAGAAGGACACAUGCCGGUCAACCAAUGUGUCCGGAGCAGUAGCGAACUACCAAGGCUCAUUGGAUCACAAAGGGGCAUUUCCUUGUAAGCAGUGCUAGUAAAGUUCACGACUAGGUAAUCGAACCCCAUACAUAUCAAGUACGACACACGUACGCAUGGCAUACCGAUAUGUAUAGAUACAUCGAUGGCAUCACAACAUAACCAUAAACAUACAACCUUUAUUUAAGAGGCUCGGAAGAGCCAGACACAUAAUAUUACACAUUAAGGGUCUCACGACCCAUAAUAGCAGUCAUUCAGUUACAAGCCAGCGGAAGAGUUUAAACUGUCUGAGUACAGACAGGGCAACUAGAAGGCACAUGGCCUGACUAUACUACAGAUCCAACGUAGGGCCAGAUCGUAGCUGGGACACCAGCUACUCGUCGUGGUCGAUGUCUACGAAGAACCCUCCAUUAGGGUCGUUAGUAACCUCUGCAACAUUUAUUAAGCAAACAUGAGUAUGAAGGUACUCAGCAAGACUUUAGGAGAACUAACUACUCAUGCAAGGUAUCAAAAGGUAUUGUGGGGUUUCAUGCGGAAAGCCAGCAUUUGACUCGUGGCUAGACAACUUGCAUUUUUAAAUAAUUUUGACAACUUGAUUUCUCGCACACGAGUCCACUAACACCACAACAAUACACUAUCGUGGAAUCAUUCCAUCUCCGUACGGAAAUACCGUCCACGACACUCACGCUUAUCUUGACAAUUUUAUGAGUAGCCAUUGAAGUUAUCUAUCAACAACAUAUGUCUCCAAGUAGUCCAUAUCCGCGGACGCGGCUAUUCGNNNNNNNNNNGUCUCCGUACGGAAAUGCCGUCCACGACACUCACGCUUAUAUUGACAAUUUUAUGAGUAGCCAUUGAAGUUAUCUAUGAACAACAUAUGUCUCCAAGUAGUCCAUAUCCGCGGACGCGGCUAUUCGAAUAGAUCAUAACCCUGCAGGGGUGUACUUUGUCACAUGCGCUCUCGCCACUUAUCGCCAUGUGCACGUCAUGCACCUCGGCAACCUUCAAGCGGAAGCCCAGCGAGGGAGUCGGCCACGACCGUUAACCACACUAGUACCUAGUCCAGGUUUAUCGCCUAUCUGAGAGUAACCUGUACGGAAUUCCGGCCGAGGUUUCCGCCACGGACUCAAACGAUGUGCGCAGGGUUCCCAAGCCCACCAUCCGGGUGCCACUUGGUACACCGUGCCACUGCCUACCGCAUCACGGUUCACCUCUCAGGUCAGCACCAUGCACGGCCUCCAGCAUUACUAUAAACACCAAAAACUACUUGCAACUCCUGGACCGAGUACUACGCGAUUAAUAGGCCGAGCGGGGUCAUAUUUCAGGGCCCAGCACGUGGUAGUAUCUAGUCUUGGUUUACAUACACAGAACUCAGUUCCUAAGGACGGUUCCAAUGAAACAACCCGCCAUGUACUCCUACACAGCCUUUCACCGGUACCUUUACCAAAUCAAGUUCAACACACAACCUUUGCUCACCGAACACAUUCCACAUUUCUGUUCAUCUUCCAGAUGACAGACCAUACACAACUCUAAGCAUAGCAUGCAUAGCAGGAUAAGGCACAUCAUAGCUCAAGCAACUACCAGGUAUGCUAGGUUGCAAGCUUCGGCUAUUUACUGUGACAAUGUUAGGUCAUGCAAAGGAAGUGGGUUCAACUAACGUGCCAAAAACAGUUGAAGCAUUUGAUCCUAAUGCAAUAAAUAAGUGCAGGAGCAAGAACAUGGGAAUUAUCGGGAUGAUCAAAAAGGGUUUCUUGCCUUGUUGCUCAGAGAAGGAACGAUAUCCGUCAGACGGAUAUUCGGAGGAGUCCGGGGGUGCGGAGCCUACCGAAAUGAAUGGCAACAUUCAAUAACAAUCAUAUGCACUCAAAAUGAUGCAUGAGCAUGGCAUGAGAAUGCAAGGUGAUAAGUUAUUAUUUUCAACAUGUAUUAGGUUUAGAGUUGAUUUGAAUCACAUUCGAAUAGAAAUUCAAACGGGGUAUUCUCGGAUACCGGUUUAAUUGAUUCGACCUGAUGCUCAGAUCAACUUGAUGUUAGCAUGCAUGAAAUGUCAUGUUAUGGUACUGAUUUGUAAUUAGGACAGUGUGUGAUCAUUGCAUUCAUAAUGAAAUUUGAAUAUUAUUCCAAAUUCCAUUUAAAAAGUAAUUAUGAGAAUUGAAUUAUUUCUUAUUCCACAUUUUAGGGUUCUGUAACUUUUUAAAACAUAGUUGAAAAUAGCAUAAUGAGACUCCUUGAAUUUUUCUGAUACUUUUUCAUAUAUAAAUUAUUUUCAUUGGNNNNNNNNNNUUGUAACUUUUUCAAACAUAGUUGAAAAUAGCAUAAUCAGAAUCCUUGAAUUUUUCUGAUACUUUUUCAUAUAUAAAUUAUUUUCAUUGGAGUUACAGAUUAAUUUCUAUGAUUUUUACAAGUUUUAGCAAUUUCCGGGAAUUAGUUUUAUACUGGAAAUUCUAAUUAUUGCAUCAGACUGACGUCAGCAGGUCAGCCGACCUGUUCAGGUCAAACCUGACACGGGGGACCCACUGGUCAGCCUCUGUGGGACUAAUCCCGCGCUGACCAGUCCUAAUUGAGGUUUGACUUGGCCUUGGGCCCAGUUGUCAGUGAGUGAUUAAGCCCUGAGCUGCUGGGUUAGCUUUGCCACGUCGACCCCCACCGGAGGGUGGUCGCCGGCGACCAGGCCCGCGGCGGAGGGCUCGCCGGAGGCGACCUAAACGGCGCUGCACAGCACCAAAACGAACGCGGUUUGCAGCUACGACACGCUGGCGAAGUGGCCGAUCUGGCAGGGGCAUCAGGGGAGGCUAGGGUCGCCGGAAGAGGCGCCGGCGACGAGCCGGAGCGGCGGCCNNNNNNNNNNACACCAAAACGAACGCGGUUUGCAGCUACGGCACGCUGGCGAAGUGGCCGAUAUGGCAGGGGCAUCAGGGGAGGCUAGGGUCGCCGGAAGAGGCGCCGNNNNNNNNNNNNNNNNNNNNNNNNNNNNNNNNNNNNNNNNNNNNNNNNNNNNNNNNNNNNNNNNNNNNNNNNNNNNNNNNNNNNNNNNNNNNNNNNNNNNNNNNNNNNNNNNNNNNNNNNNNNNNNNNNNNNNNNNCCUUCUACAAGCAAUGGCUCUAGGGCAUGGGGAGGACAACUAGAGGGCUCAACACGCUCCUAGAGGCUCCAGGAGCUCGAAUCCUAGCUCGAGCGUGUGGAUCGGACACCACGGCGAUGGCGACGACAUGGCCGGCGGCGAGGAGCUCUCGGCCUUGAUGGGGAACUAGGCUACGAUGCACGGGAGAGCGUGGGGCAAGAGGGGAAACGACGACGGGCUCACGGCGGUUCCGAUGGUGCUGUUGANNNNNNNNNNAGCGACGGCGACGACAUGGCCGGCGGCGAGGAGCUCUCGGCCUUGGUGGGGAACUAGGCUACGAUGCACGGGAGAGCGUGGGGCGAGAGGGGAAACGACGACGGGCUCACGGCGGUUCCGAUGGUGCUGUUGAGGGGCUCGGGGAUGCGCCGGAGGGAGCGAAUCGACGGGAGAGGUCCGGCGGCCGGAGGUGGAAGACGACGGCGUUGGGGGUGAUGCAGAGCUUGGGGAAGCUUCGGCUUCUGCAGAGAUGACCAGGGCGACGAGGCGGAGCUAACGGAAUACUCGGAGGAGGGUUCCCAUGGCUAGAGGUGCUGCGGCUCGAGCUUGAGCUCGGCUCCAAUGGCGGCAGCAGGAGGGAGGGCAAGAUCCGAGAGGAGAGGAAGAACGGUGCUGGGGAAUGGAUAGAGGAGACCCCGGGGAGCUUAUCCCCAGCCUUGCCAGCGCGAGGCGGCGGCCAGGCAGGCGCACAGGUGCGUGGCCGCGCCGGAGGAGGCGGCGGCCACCUCCUGCUCCUACUGGCGCGAGGGAGGGGACGAGCGAGGGAGAUGGCCCGGGCCAGUCUAGGCGACAGGUAAGGGUUUCCCUUUUUUUCUGUUUUUGUUUUUCUGUUUUGCUAUUUAUUUCAGCUCCAAAACAAAAGGUAAAAACUAUUUUAGACCUCCUGAAAUAUUGUUAUAAUAUUCCCAACNNNNNNNNNNGCCGGGCCAGGCUAGGCGACAGGUAAGGGUUUCCCAUUUUUUUUCGGUUUUUGUUUUUCUGUUUUGCUAACUAUUGUUUUUCUAUUUAUUUCAGCUCCAAAACAAAAAGUAAAAACUAUUUUAGACCUCCUGAAAUAUUGUUAUAAUAUUCCCAACCAUUUCCAAAGUUUUCAACAUUUUUGAAAAUUUAUAGUUUCUGAUUUCAAAUUUAAAGUUUGAAACCAGUGGCUUUUUCCAUUAGUUUAAAAAGCUUAAAGUGUCAAGAAAAUAGUUUUCUCCAAUGCUCAUUUACUUUCAUGAUUUAACAGAAAGUUUGAACAUUUCUUGAGGCCAUUUUGGGUUCAUUGAUUUUAGCUAGUUUGAGAAUUUCUUUAUUUAAAGUAGUGGCUAGGGNNNNNNNNNNNNNNNNNNNNNNNNNNNNNNNNNNNNNNNNNNNNNNNNNNNNNNNNNNNNNNNNNNNNNNNNNNNNNNNNNNNNNNNNNNNNNNNNNNNNUACAUUGUGUAGUAGUAGCAUGACAUAUGAGAAGAAGAAGUAGAGCUUGCAGUAGGACUCUUGCACGGAUGGGAGGUUGGUACUUGUCCAUCUUGAUAAUACGACGCUAUUGGGACACUUGUUUCAAGAGAUCUACAAGAUGAUUUUUACACACUCAUAUAAUCAUGUAUAUAUAGAGAGGGAUAGAGCCAGAGAGAUCCCAUCCCAUUGUAAAAUAGUAUAAGG